UACGAAGGGGGCUAGCGUUGCUCGGAAUUACUGGGCGUAAAGCGCGCGCAGGCGGCUAUCCAAGUCAGUGGUGAAAGCCCGGAGCUCAACUCCGGAACUGCCAUUGAAACUGUUUAGCUUGAGGAUGAGAGAGGUGAGUGGAAUUCCCAGUGUAGAGGUGAAAUUCGUAGAUAUUGGGAAGAACACCGGUGGCGAAGGCGGCUCACUGGCUCAUUACUGACGCCCAGGCGCGAUAGCGUGGGGAUCAAACAGG
rnacentral:rRNA from 1 species